GAUGAACGCUGGCGGCGUGCCUAAUACAUGCAAGUCGAGCGAACGGACGAGAAGCUUGCUUCUCUGAUGUUAGCGGCGGACGGGUGAGUAACACGUGGAUAACCUACCUAUAAGACUGGGAUAACUUCGGGAAACCGUAGCUAAUACCGGAUAAUAUUUUGAACCGCAUGGUUCAAAAGUGAAAGACGGUCUUGCUGUCACUUAUAGAUGGAUCCGCGCUGCAUUAGCUAGUUGGUAAGGUAACGGCUUACCAAGGCAACGAUGCAUAUCCGACCUGAGAGGGUGAUCGGCCACACUGGAACUGAGACACGGUCCAGACUCCUACGGGAGGCAGCAGUAGGGAAUCUUCCGCAAUGGGCGAAAGCCUGACGGAGCAACGCCGCGUGAGUGAUGAAGGUCUUCGGAUCGUAAAACUCUGUUAUUAGGGAAGAACAUAUGUGUAAGUAACUGUGCACAUCUUGACGGUACCUAAUCAGAAAGCCACGGCUAACUACGUG
rnacentral:rRNA from 1 species